UGCCAUCCCAUAGAACUAGACCUUGCUCAUUACUAGUUAAUGAAGAACCUUGCAAAUGCCAUUCCUACUUUCUUCACCGUCUGCUUACUAACUAAAUAAUUCACAACUCAAAAUCACCAACAAGAGUUAAUUUAAAAUCUGAGCAAAUAAAUCCUGUUUUAUGACUUCAAUUUUUCAAACAACACGAAAUAAAUAAUUUCACAUCCACAUUAACACAUAGAAAGCAGAUCAACACUCGGAGAAACUUACAACAAAAGCCACCANAAAAAAAAAACUUAACAAACAGCUAUUUCCACACAAAAAGCGCCCCAAAUUACCAUAAAGAAGAGUCUCAGAUUCGGAAAUCGAGAGUGAUGUAUCACUGAAUGAUAUAAAAAUAAAAAUAAAAUUAGGAGAAAUGUAGGAGGAAAAAUGAAAUUAGAGGCAACGAUAUACAAAU
rnacentral:lncRNA from 1 species